UGCCAAAAUUAUCAUGCAAUUUUUGUUUAAGAAAAUGGUUCAGCCUUGUGGCAACCCACCACACAGACCAGAAGACUAAAAAAAUAGUACAUGCAUCUUGGACUGGAUUAAACUUGAUCAAAAUCAUUUAUGUAAUCUCAUGUUUCUGGAAAGUUUUAACGCUGUUUUCCAGCCAAUACCUCAAAUACCUUGUCUCUAGUUCAGCCAGUUGGGCCAAAGUGGCUUUCGCAUCAGAAAUUUUUGUCUAACAUUUUAUUGUUUAUAGUCUAUGCCAUGCUGUAACAGUUAUUUAAAAGAAGUUGAUUGCAUUUCGUCAUUAGACACUGAAUAAUCACGAAAGCAGCUUUCUUGAAAACUCUUAAACUGUAGAUACAGAAAGCCGUCAGAAAAAGGUGUUGAUCUUUAGUUUAAGUAGUCGUUUGCCUUUGUAAAAAAAAGAUGUGAGAGACUCCCCAAGUUGUACGGCUGAGCGUCUUCAAAACAAAAUGAACUUGUUGAAGGAGCUUGUGCA